rnacentral:rRNA from 1 species
AUUGAACGCUGGCGGCAGGCUUAACACAUGCAAGUCGAGCGGGGUGAUGGUGCUUGCACUAUCACUUAGCGGCGGACGGGUGAGUAAUGCUUAGGAAUCUGCCUAUUAGUGGGGGACAACAUCUCGAAAGGGAUGCUAAUACCGCAUACGUCCUACGGGAGAAAGCAGGGGAUCACUUGUGACCUUGCGCUAAUAGAUGAGCCUAAGUCGGAUUAGCUAGUUGGUGGGGUAAAGGCCUACCAAGGCGGCGAUCUGUAGCGGGUCUGAGAGGAUGAUCCGCCACACUGGGACUGAGACACGGCCCAGACUCCUACGGGAGGCAGCAGUGGGGAAUAUUGGACAAUGGGGGGAGCCCUGAUCCAGCCAUGCCGCGUGUGUGAAGAAGGCCUUAUGGUUGUAAAGCACUUUAAGCGAGGAGGAGGCUCUUUUGGUUAAUACCCAAGAUGAGUGGACGUUACUCGCAGAAUAAGCACCGGCUAACUCUGUGCCAGCAGCCGCCGUAA